UGGCGGNAUGCCUUACNCAUGCAAGUCGAACGGUAACGGGCCUUCGGGCGCCGACGAGUGGCGAACGGGUGAGUAAUGCAUCGGAACGUACCUUUCAGUGGGGGAUAACGUAGCGAAAGUUACGCUAAUACCGCAUACUCUGUGAGCAGGAAAGCAGGGGAUCGCAAGACCUUGCGCUGAUUGAGCGGCCGAUGUCAGAUUAGCUAGUUGGUGAGGUAAAGGCUCACCAAGGCGACGAUCUGUAGCGGGUCUGAGAGGAUGAUCCGCCACACUGGAACUGAGACACGGUCCAGACUCCUACGGGAGGCAGCAGUGGGGAAUUUUGGACAAUGGGGGGAACCCUGAUCCAGCCAUGCCGCGUGAGUGAAGAAGGNCUUCGGGUUGUAAAGCUC
rnacentral:rRNA from 1 species